CGCUUGUUUAUCAAAAACAUGUCUUUUUGAUUAAAUAAAAAGUCUAGCCUGCCCGGUGAAUUUUUAACGGCCGCAGUAUACUGACUGUGCAAAGGUAGCAUAAUCUAUUGUCUUUUAAUUAAAGGCUUGUAUGAAUGGUUGAAUGAGAUAUUAACUAUUUUUAUUUUAAUAAAAAUGAAUUUUAAUUUUUAGUAAAAAUGCUAAAAUAAAAAAAUUAGACGAGAAGACCCUAUAAAUCUUAAUUUUAUUUUUUAUAAUAUUAAUUUUGAAAAUUUUUAAUAAAUUAUAAAAAUAAAAUUUUAUUGGGAGGAUAAUGAAAUUUAAUAAACUUUUAUUUUUUUUUAUAAAUAUAAUUAAAUUAUUGAAUAUAUAAUUAUAAAAUAUUUAAAAAAUUAAGUUACUUUAGGGAUAACAGCGUAAUUAUUUUAAAGAGUUCUUAUCGAUAAAAUAGUUUGCGACCUCGAUGUUGAAUUAAGAAUUAAUUUAGGUGUAGAAGUUUAAAUUUUAAGUCUGUUCGACUUUUGAAUUCUUACAUGAUCUGAGUUCAGACCGG
rnacentral:rRNA from 1 species